GAAUAUUGGUCAAUGGGUGAGAGCCUGAACCAGCCAUGCCGCGUGCAGGAAGACGGCCUUCUGGGUUGUAAACUGCUUUUAUUUGGGGAUAAAACGACCGUGCGCGGUUGAUUGAAGGUGCCAGAUGAAUAAGCCACGGCUAACUACGUGCCAGCAGCCGCGGUAAUACGUAGGUGGCGAGCGUUGUACGGAUUUAGUGGGUUUAAGGGGUGCGUAGGCGGCUAUUUAAGUCAGUGCUGAAAUACCCCGGCUUAACCGGGGGGGUGGCAUUGAUACUGGAUAGCUUGAGUACAGACGUGGUAGGCGGAAUUGACAGUGUAGCGGUGAAAUGCAUAGAUAUUGUCAAGAACACCGAUAGUGUAGACAGCUUACUAGGCUGUAACUGACGCUGAGGCACGAAAGUGUGGGGAUCAAACAGG
rnacentral:rRNA from 1 species